UCUAAUGUGGCAGAAUAGUGCAAUGAAGUUAAGAUUCAAACAUAAAAAUUUUUCUUUAGAA
rnacentral:tRNA from 1 species